AGAGGGUGCGAGCGUUAAUCGGAAUUACUGGGCGCAAAGGGCGCGUAGGUGGUUUAAUAAGUUAGCUGUGAAAUACCCGGGCUUAACCUGGGGGGGUCAGCUAAUACUGUUAGACUUGAGUAUGGUAGAGGGUAGAGGAAUUUCCGGAGUAGCGGUGAAAUGCGUAGAUAUCGGAAGGAACAUCAGUGGCGAAGGCGUCUACCUGGACUGAUACUGACACUGAGGCGCGAAAGCGUGGGGAGCAAACAGGAUUAGAUACCCUGGUAGUCCACGCUGUAAAUGGUGACAACUAGCCCGUUGGUCGAAUUUAAUUCGAUAAGUGGCGCAGCAAACGCGAUAAGUUGUCCGCCUGGGGAGUACGGCCGCAAGGUUA
rnacentral:rRNA from 1 species